AGUGAACGCUGGCGGCGUGCUUAAGACAUGCAAGUCGAACGGCAGUCUUCGGACUGUAGUGGCGCACGGGUGAGUAACGCGUAACUGACCUACCCCAAAGUCGCGGAUAACGAUUCGAAAGAAUCGCUAAUACGUGAUGUGCUGUCAGAUUGUGUUCUGCCAGUAAAGAUUGAUUGCUUUGGGAUGGGGUUGCGUUCCAUCAGCUAGUUGGUGGGGUAAAGGCCCACCAAGGCGACGACGGAUAGCCGGCCUGAGAGGGUGGCCGGCCACAGGGGCACUGAGACACGGGUCCCACUCCUACGGGAGGCAGCAGUUAGGGAUCUUCCACAAUGGGCGAAAGCCUGCUGGAGCGACGCCGCGUGAGGGAUGAAGGUCUUCGGAUCGUAAACCUCUGAAUCAGGGACGAAAGACACUUCGGUGGGAUGACGGUACCUGAGUAAUAGCACCGGCUAACUCCGUGCCAGCCGCCGCAGUAAAAC
rnacentral:rRNA from 1 species